rnacentral:lncRNA from 1 species
GAGUAGGCAUGAAUGCCCAGCUUUUUCAGAAAGCUUAAAGCAAUACAGAUCAAGAACGAGAAAAGAUAGACAGGCGAGAUCAAACUUGAUACAAUCAACACCGUUCAUGAUCAAUUUCACCACUAAUUUAGUCCAGCACGCCAAACUUAAGGAGAUCAACACGGCUUCAUGGCCAAUUUCACCACCAAAUCAGUUCAUCAUAUGCCAAACUUGAGGAAACUAAAAAGUUGCAGCGCCAAAAGCCAAAGAUAAAACCAUUUGCUGGGACUGAACUAAGGAUAGAAGAGUAAAAGUGCCAAUUUCUUGUGUGUAUUGCCUCUUGCUUUUUCUUCGUGCAUACUCUGUUUUUAACACCACGGAAUAUGUCAUGUCUUAUAUAGCUGUCCACAUAACAACGCCACAACCACAAACACAAACAGUUACUGUUACUGUUCUGACAAAGUAACACAGAAGAUCAACACCACGGAACAAGCAACACAUUCACCACAAAUCAAAUAAUCACGUCACACUUCAGGAAAUCAACAAGUUCUUGACCAUUUCUAAAAAAUAAGCUCAGGACCAGUUUCACUACCAAAUCAGUUCAUUACCUCAAACUAGAGGAAAUCAACAAAGUUUAAUCACGAAUUUUCACCAGCAAAGUAGUUCAUCAUACGCUUUUAUUCUUUUUGGAAAAUCGACAGAGUUAAGGAUCAACUUCUCCACCAAAAGUAGAGUUGAUAAUAUGAAGAAGUAAACACAUACUGUAGGAUAAAUACAAAACAUUCAGGAACCACCAAAACAAAGAAACGCCUAUCUCAUGUGUCUGUUCACGCAAGAACCCGUAAGCACAAACUGGAACAGAUGCUGUUCUUGCACGAAGUUAAACUCAAGGAUAACCACAAAGUAAUCACGGAAUAGCAAGCAAAAAUCAUCAACCCGUAACUGCCCGUUCACCAACUCCGUGACGUCAAACUCGAGGAAAUCAGUCAAAUUUUCAGAGAGGUUGCAUGAAUGCCCAGCUUUUUACAGAAAGCUUAAAGCAAUGCAGAUCAAGAACGAGGAAAGAUAAACAGGGGAAAAUAGCUGAAGACAAUCAAAGUAGUUCACCAGCUCCAUGUCGUCAAAAAUCGAGGAGAUCAAUCAAUUUUUUCAGAGAAUGCCCAGCUUUUUACAGAAAGUUUAAAGCAAUAAGUACAGAUGAAGAACGAGGAAAGAUAUAGAGGCAAGACUAGCUUAAGACAAUCAAAGCAGUUCAUCAGGCAAAACUUGAAAAGUUCUUGACCAAUUUCACCACCAAAUUAGUCCAGCACGCCAAAUUUAAGGAGAUCAACAUGUUUUCAUGACCAAUUUCAGCACCAAAUGAGUUCAUCAUAUGCCAAAUUUGAGGAAAUCAACAGAAUUUCAUGACCAAUUUCACCACCAAAUCAGUUCAUCAUAUGCCAAACUUGAGGAAACUAUCAGAGUUCGCGGCCAACUUCACCUACUCGAUGCAAGACGAUCAACGAAGCAAAACAAGGAAGAAAGACACCAAACAUGACCACAUAAACAGGGCAUCUCUCACACUCUCGCGCCGGCCAUCCUCCAUGAGCACUACCACAUCCACAAGGACUAC